rnacentral:rRNA from 1 species
UACGAAGGACCCGAGCGUUAUCCGGAUUUAUUGGGUUUAAAGGGUGCGUAGGCGGAUUUAUAAGUCAGUGGUGAAAGCCUAUAGCUUAACUAUAGAAUUGCCAUUGAUACUGUAGGUCUUGAGUACAGUUGAGGUGGGCGGAAUGUGCAGUGUAGCGGUGAAAUGCUUAGAUAUUGCACAGAACACCAAUUGCGAAGGCAGCUCGCUAAGCUGUAACUGACGCUGAGGAGCGAAAGCGUGGGGAGCGAACAGG